CUAGGAAUAUUGGACAAUGGGCGAAAGCCUGAUCCAGCCAUGCCGCGUGAGUGAAGACGGCCUUCGGGUUGUAAAGCUCUUUUAGUUAUGAAGAUGAUGACUGUAGUAACAGAAAAAGCACCGGCUAACUUCGUGCCAGCAGCCGCGGUAAUACGAAGGGUGCUAGCGUUGUUCGGAUUUACUGGGCGUAAAGCGCAUGUAGGUUGUAAGAUUGGUCAGAUGUGAAAGCCCGAAGCUCAACUUCGGAACUGCAUUUGAUACCGUCUUGCUGGAGUAUGAUAGAGGAUAGUGGAAUUCCGAGUGUAGAGGUGAAAUUCGUAGAUAUUCGGAGGAACACCAGUGGCGAAAGCGGCUAUCUGGAUCAUUACUGACGCUGAGAUGCGAAAGUGUGGGGAGCAAACA
rnacentral:rRNA from 1 species